rnacentral:rRNA from 1 species
UACGAAGGGGGCUAGCGUUGCUCGGAAUUACUGGGCGUAAAGCGCACGUAGGCGGCUUUCUAAGUCGGGGGUGAAAUCCUGGAGCUCAACUCCAGAACUGCCUUCGAUACUGGAAAGCUCGAGUCCGGGAGAGGUGAGUGGAACUGCGAGUGUAGAGGUGAAAUUCGUAGAUAUUCGCAAGAACACCAGUGGCGAAGGCGGCUCACUGGCCCGGUACUGACGCUGAGGUGCGAAAGGCGUGGGGAGCAAACAGGG